AUACAAUGGUUUUGUACACUUGUUAAAUUAGCUGAUCAUAAUGUAAAUUACUGAGCCGCUGGUAAAGCUCAUCUGCUCUCCCUGACAGCCACACACCUCCAAAAAUAUGAACUAAACUCAACACACUUACCUGAGACUCUACACUUGACUGUCCCUGGUCUCCCUAUUCCUUAGUUCUUUCUGUCUCCUUUGCCUGUGACAUAGUGACGUUAGUAUUUCCAUAGGUACCCAUUCUUAUAAAGAUGUUACCAAAUUGU